GACGAACGCUGGCGGCGUGCCUAAUACAUGCAAGUCGAACGCAGUGGGGACGGGUGAGUAACACGUGGGUAACCUCCCAUCAGAGGGGAUAACACUUGGAAACACGUGCUAAACCGAUACUGAUGUAUGGACCCGCGGUGCAUUAGCUAGUUGGUGAGGUAACGGCUCACCAAGGCCACGAUGCAUAGCCGGCCUGAGAGGGUGAUCGGCCACACUGGGACUGAGCCACGGUCCAGACUCCUACGGGAGGCAGCAGUGGGGAAUAUUGCACAAUGGGGGCAAGCCGGAUACAGCCAUGCCGCGUGUAUGAAGACGGCCUUCGGGUUGUAAAGUACUUUCAGCGGGGAGGCGUUACCCGCAGAAGAAGCACCGGCUAACUCCGUGCCAGCCGCCGCGGUAAUAC
rnacentral:rRNA from 1 species